GGUGAGGUGCCUGGAAAGUGUGUAUACGGCAACGUAUCGGGGGUUCGAAUCCCCCCCUCACCGCCA
rnacentral:tRNA from 1 species